UGUGCCGCGGGAAAAACACCUGCCGGGUGUUUUUGCCGCAGGACACCUCUGUGUCCCGAAAGUUGCUUUUGGGACACAGGGAUGCCUCUAAGUCCCUGCGGGCCCGCGUUUACUUUAAAAACGCGGGGACCGUCGGGAGGUACCGCACGCAGGGACGUCACUGACAUGCCAUGCGUUCGCCCAUAGCAACAAUCGCAGAGGACCUGAGCAGCGAGGAGGACGCGCGCUGUCAACUUGAGGAUCAGAAUGCGUUGACAUAGUGAGGAGACGUCUGGGCAUCAAGUUCUGCAUCGAGAAGUUUUAGCUGGAACAAAUUCUGGUGUGAGGGGCCGGUGCUGGACACUGUGUAGGGACGCGGGAAUGCAAAGUCAUACACAUGACUGUGACUGAUGCAGUAUUUCCAGGACAUGGAGUAGCAUUUCCGGACCUACAGCAAGACGUUGGAUGAAGGCAUAGCCCCAGAAAUAACACUGGUCCUGUUCAUCAGUGAGGGGCCGGUGCUGGACACUGUGUAGGGACACGGGAAUGCAAAGUCAUGCACAUGACUGUGACUGAUGCACUAUUUCCAGGACAUGGAGUAGCAUUUCGGGACCUACAGCAAGACGUUGGAUGAAGGCACAGGCCUAGGAAUCAUGCACAUACACAGAAACAUUUGCCCAAAUUAUAGAGGUAACCUCCUUUAGUAUGCCCAGAGGAAGGGCCAUACAGUAGCCAUGGAUUCCCUACAGGUUUCCUCCCCUCUGGAGGUUUUUCCUGUCCUGAGUAUUAGUUACUGUACGCUCUUUGUGAGUGAUGGGAGGUUACAAAAAAUCCCCUAAACAAACAUUUUAAUAAAUAAUAAAUAAAG